rnacentral:rRNA from 1 species
GAGCGAGAACCAGGGCUUCGGCCCUGGGGACAGCGGCGAACGGGUGAGUAACACGUGGAUAACCUGCCCUCGGCACCGGGAUAGCCCGGGGAAACCCGGAUUAAUACCGGAUGGCCCUUCCGGCUCUCGAGCUGGACGGAAAAGGUAGCUUCGGCCUCCGGCCGAGGAUGGGUCCGCGGCGGAUUAGCUUGUUGGCGGGGUAACGGCCCACCAAGGCGACGAUCCGUAGCUGGUCUGAGAGGACGAUCAGCCACACUGGGACUGAGACACGGCCCAGACUCCUACGGGAGGCAGCAGUGGGGAAUCUUGCGCAAUGGGCGAAAGCCUGACGCAGCGACGCCGCGUGAGGGAAGAAGGCCUUCGGGUUGUAAACCUCUUUCAGGAGGGACGAAGCCACUCGGGUGAACAGCCCAGAGGGUGACGGUACCUCCAGAAGAAGCCCCGGCUAACUACGUGCCAGCAGCCGCGGUAAUACGUAGGGGGCAAGCGUUGUCCGGAUUUACUGGGCGUAAAGAGCGUGUAGGCGGCCUCACAGGUCCGUUGUGAAAACUGAAGGCUUAACCUUCAGAGGUCGACGGAAACCGUGUGGCUAGAGUCCGGAAGAGGAGAGUGGAAUUCCUGGUGUAGCGGUGAAAUGCGCAGAUAUCAGGAAGAACACCAAUGGCGAAGGCAGCU